rnacentral:lncRNA from 1 species
UAUUAAUGCAUAAUGUCAUUUCUGGAACUCUUCCAACAGUUAUGGGUCACAAUGACAAUAUGCCACUCCAUUGGCUGAGCACUUGUUUGCAACAAUGAGCUACACAUGUUGGCCAAUACUGCCACAAUUUAACGCUUCUGUUCCUCUUGGCACAUCUGAAUGGGUGGCAUCUGGUCCAAAUUUUGGGUCCCUUUGAGGAUGCGUGAUAGGUAACUCUCAUCUGGAUAGCAGAGACACUUGACCAGCCAAUUACGUAUUCUGGAAUCCAGGAAGUUUAUGUAGGGAGCUUAAACGGAAGAUGCGUCUGAGAAACUCCCAUCAAGAGCACAUCCCAGCUUUUCAACGAUUGUAUAAGCCAGCGUUUGUUAAGUGCUUCCUCUGUCCCAGGAACUCUUUCAAGUGUUUUACGUGUAGUAACUCUUUUCAUAUAUGACCAUCUUAUGAAGUGUCACACAGCAUGCUUUACAUGAGUACAAUGCCUCGAUCAAAGUCAACGUCUGCUAAACAUGAAUGGGAUGCCAGAAAUCUCCAACUCCAGAGUGGAUGGUUUCUUCAUUAUACUCUGCAAAAAGCGUAAAAAGUCUUCUUACUUAAAAAUAUUUGAGGAAAUAAAAUGUUAACAGAAUAUUUGAAUACAGAUUCAAGGCAACAAUGAAAGUUGUAUCACAUUACAUUCUCUGCCAACAAAAUGGCUAACUCCCGGUACAUCCUCAAAAAAGUCAAAUAUAUACAAAUACGUACAUCCAUAAAUAUUCACAUUGAAUAAAGAAGAAACUUGGCUAUUUCUCCAUUCUUCCAGACUACUUUUUUGCAAAUUUCUUCCAUAUAUCUUCUACUCAGGCCAAAUGAAACUACUUCCUACUUCCUAAAUACCCUAUAUCCUUGGAAAUUAUUUGGAACGGC